rnacentral:rRNA from 1 species
AACGAACGCUGGCGGCAGGCCUAACACAUGCAAGUCGAACGCUGUAGCAAUACAGAGCGGCAGACGGGUGAGUAACGCGUAGGAACAUGCCCUUCGGUUCGGAAUAACUCAGGGAAACUUGAGCUAAUACCGGAUACGCCCUUAGGGGGAAAGAUUUAUUGCCGAAGGAUUGGCCCGCGUCCGAUUAGCUAGUUGGUGAGGUAAUGGCUCACCAAGGCGACGAUCGGUAGCUGGUCUGAGAGGAUGAUCAGCCACACUGGGACUGAGACACGGCCCAGACUCCUACGGGAGGCAGCAGUGGGGAAUAUUGGACAAUGGGCGCAAGCCUGAUCCAGCCAUGCCGCGUGAGUGAUGAAGGCCCUAGGGUUGUAAAGCUCUUUCGCCAGGGACGAUAAUGACGGUACCUGGAUAAGAAGCCCCGGCUAACUUCGUGCCAGCCGCCGCGGUAA